CAAAAAAACAGAUUGCUCAACUAAAGCAUGACAUACUGGUGAUGCUUGUCGUCUUUGCUUCUCCUUCCACGCGUCGACGACGAGGAGGCGGUGGCCGGUGCCCGGAAGCCGAUGUUCUCGACGGCGCCGACGGUGUUGAAGAAGAGGCGGCGGUUGAGCUCCUCCACCAGCGUCCGGUGAAGCAGCUGGCUCCGCAUGUCCACCAUCGACCGGUUCCGCGUCAUCCUAUUAUUCCUCCUACCAUGGUGGUGGUGGUCGUCGUCGUCACGCCGCCGCGGCCGCCCGGCGUGCGGCGCCAGGCUGCACUGCCGCUGCAGCUGCCGCGCGAGCGACUGCUGCUGGGCCGUAUCUGCUCUCCCUGGGCUUCUGCUGCUCCUCUCUCCUGGGCUGAAUCUUGAUGCCUUUGCUGUGCAGGAGCUGGGCCCUACUACAUUCUCCUCUUCUUCAUUACCUGAGGCGUAAUGCAGAGCAGAGUACUUACCGGAAUGCAUGGAGCUCAUGUCAUCGUCGUCGCUUAAAGAAGUGUAGCAUCCGUAAUCUACACCAACAAAAUUUUGUCCAAAAUGCAAACGUGUCAAGGCUCAAUGGUGUGCUCUCCCCGUGAAGAUAUGAUGUACACUAGCACCGCAUACCAAAUUUUGGUAUGCAGCAAGCAACAACGAACCAGGAUAAGUACUAGAAAACUCAGAAAAUAAUUGUGAUGGUGUAGCCAAAACAGAAGCUCCAGUGCACUAGAGAUAAACACACAGGUGUCAUAUGUCUGUACUGUACAUAGCGACGCACCUAGAUGAUGGAUAACGAACCAGAACAGCCGUAGUAGUCAACAAUUUCCAGUCCAAAUUUUCGGUGCUUUGUGUCAAAGUGUCAUACCCGGUGCACGUACGCAUCCACACAGGUACGUACAAAAGUAGUUGGGCCGAGAUAUAUGCAUGACAUAAGCAUUUCAUGUGUAUGUUUGGAAGAAUUAUGGUCCGAAAUCAAUCAAAAGUUUAUUUAAAAAAAUCAAUCAAAAUUAAAGUAAGCACGAUGUUUUAAAACUGAAAAGAGAAAUGCUGAAACAUUUAAAAGAAUAAUCUUUUUAAUACCUUUGGACCAGCCACCGCCAUGUGUGCCGGAGAAGCCUCCCGAGGCGUAAGGCCCCACCCCGCAGAGAGAGCCUUGGGAGGAGGUGGGGGAAGAGGAGGGGUAGUAGAAGGGAGGAGGGCGCUCCUCGUUUCCGUCAUCGUCGUCGCCAUUUGCCGCGU
rnacentral:lncRNA from 1 species